rnacentral:rRNA from 1 species
AAAUUGAAGAGUUUGAUCAUGGCUCAGAUUGAACGCUGGCGGCAGGCCUAACACAUGCAAGUCGAACGGUAACAGGAAACAGCUUGCUAUUUCGCUGACGAGUGGCGGACGGGUGAGUAAUGUCUGGGAAACUGCC